GCACCCAUAGCUCAAUUGGAUAGAGCAUCUGACUACGGAUCAGAAGGUUAUAGGUUCGAGUCCUAUUGGGUGUACCA
rnacentral:tRNA from 2 species